GGGGAUUAGUUUAAUGGUAGAGCAGUGGUCUCCAAAACCAUUGAUAAGGGUUCGAUUCCUUUAUCCCC
rnacentral:tRNA from 1 species